UACGUAGGGUGCAAGCGUUGUCCGGAAUUAUUGGGCGUAAAGAGCUCGUAGGCGGUUUGUCGCGUCUGCUGUGAAAACUCGGGGCUUAACCCCGGGCCUGCAGUGGGUACGGGCAGACUAGAGUGCGGUAGGGGAGACUGGAAUUCCUGGUGUAGCGGUGAAAUGCGCAGAUAUCAGGAGGAACACCAGUGGCGAAGGCGGUUGCCUGGAGCUUUGCUGACGCUGAGACGCGAAAGCGUGGGGAGCGAACAGG
rnacentral:rRNA from 1 species